rnacentral:rRNA from 1 species
UACGUAGGGUGCGAGCGUUAAUCGGAAUUACUGGGCGUAAAGCGUGCGCAGGUGGUUCGUUAUGUCCGAUGUGGAAAGCCCCGAGCUCAACUUGGGAAUGGCAUUGGAAACUGGCGGGCUGGAGUGUGGCAGAGGGGGGUGGAAUUCCACGUGUAGCAGUGAAAUGCGUAGAGAUGUGGAGGAACACCGAUGGCGAAGGCAGCCCCCUGGGCCAACACUGACGCUCAGGCACGAAAGCGUGGGGAGCAAACAGG